UACUAUUUUAUGGUUCCAGUGUAAUUUUAAUCAUAGUUUUACCUUCAUAAAAAUCAGCGCAUUCCUUGUCAGUCAGGAAUUCACGAUGAAAAUUAUUCUGCUCGUAUUUUGCAUUGUAGCUAUAUGUAGCUGCCAUAAGGAUUCCACAGGUUUAGCUGAAAAAGAGGAUGUUGCCACAAUGAGCACUAUUGCAAAGUAUACGUUCAACGUAGCGUCUAAAUUUGUUCUUUGGAUUUUAGGUUUUUACCUCGAUGAAAAAAUGUUGAAUAUUAUAACGAAGAUUUUUGAAAGUAUAAAGAAUUUAGUGAACAUGAAGGACUAACAUUUGUGUAUAAUUUCUCUAUAAAAGCAUUAAAACAAUAAUAAUAA